rnacentral:rRNA from 1 species
UUCAGGGAGGUAGUGACAAGAAAUAAUAGACGCGUAAGCCGGGUUUACAAUGAGCCUAAUUUACACAGCUUAGUGAGGAUCCAUUGGAGGGCAAGUCUGGUGCCAGCAGCCGCGGUAAUUCCAGCUCCAAUAGCAUAUAUUAAAAUUGCUGCAGUUAAAAAGCUCGUAGUUGGAUUUCUGUGAGACUUGUUUUGUUCGGCCUGCGGGGUCGGGCGAAUCACUUUUCACAUCCUUCUGUUAACCUUACACUCCUUCACCGGUGUGUCUGUGGGCUCAGAUACUUUACCUUGAGUAAAUUAGAGUGUUUCAGGCAAGCUUUCGCUUGAAUACAUUAGCAUGGAAUAAUAGAAAAGGACUUCGUUUCAUUUCAUUGGUUAUGAGCGGAGUAAUGAUUAAUAGGGGAUAGUUGGGGGG